rnacentral:rRNA from 1 species
UACGAAGGGGGCUAGCGUUGCUCGGAAUCACUGGGCGUAAAGGGUGCGUAGGCGGGUCUUUUAAGUCAGAGGUGAAAUCCUGGAGCUCAACUCCAGAACUGCCUUUGAUACUGAAGAUCUUGAGUUCGGGAGAGGUGAGUGGAACUGCGAGUGUAGAGGUGAAAUUCGUAGAUAUUCGCAAGAACACCAGUGGCGAAGGCGGCUCACUGGCCCGAUACCUGACGCUGAGGCACGAAAGCGUGGGGAGCAACAGGG